rnacentral:rRNA from 1 species
UGGUCAUUAGAGGAAGUAUAAGUCGUAACAGGUUUCCGUAGGUGAACCUGCGGAAGGAUCAUUAUUGAAAUAAACCUGAUGGGUUGUUGCUGGCUCUCUAGGGAGCAUGUGCACGCCUUGUCAUCUUUAUAUCUCCACCUGUGCACCUUUUGUAGACCUUUCGGGGUCUAUGUUGCUUCAUUUUUCCACAAUGUAUGUUAAUAGAAUGUUGUGCCCUGUAUAAUAUAUACAACUUUCAGCAACGGAUCUCUUGGCUCUCGCAUCGAUGAAGAACGCAGCGAAAUGCGAUAAGUAAUGUGAAUUGCAGAAUUCAGUGAAUCAUCGAAUCUUUGAACGCACCUUGCGCUCCUUGGUAUUCCGAGGAGCAUGCCUGUUUGAGUGUCAUUAAUAUACAUAUAUCAAGCCUUCUCUUGUAGAAGGGUUUGGAUGUGGGGGUUUGCUGGCCUCUUAAUCUUAAGAGUUCAGCUCUCCUGAAAUGCAUUAGCAGAACAACCUUAUGUUCAUUGGUGUGAUAACUAUCUACGCUAUUGAAUGUUGAGGGGGAAGUUCAGCUUUCUAACGGUCCUUGGACAACUCAUCAUUAAUGUGACCUCAAAUCAGGUAGGACUACCCGCUGAACUUAAGCAUAUCAAUAAGCGGAGGAAAAGAAACUAACAAGGAUUCCCCUAGUAACUGCGAGUGAAGCGGGAAAAGCUCAAAUUUAAAAUCUGGCGGUUUUUUUGGCCGUCCGAGUUGUAAUCUAGAGAAGUGUUAUCCGCGCUGGACCGUGUACAAGUCUCCUGGAAUGGAGCAUCAUAGACGGUGAGAAUCCCGUCUUUGACAUGGACUGCCAGGGCUUUGUGAUGCGCUCUCAAAGAGUCGAGUAGUUUGGGAAUGCAGCUCAAAAUGGGUGGUAAUUGCCAUCUAAAGCUAAAUAUUGGCGAGAGACCGAUAGCGAACAAGUACCGUGAGGGAAAGAUGAAAGAACUU